AUUGAACGCUGGCGGAAUGCUUUACACAUGCAAGUCGAACGGCAGCACGGACUUCGGUCUGGUGGCGAGUGGCGAACGGGUGAGUAAUGUAUCGGAACGUGCCCAGUCGGGGGGGAUAACGUAGUGAAAAUUACGCUAAUACCGCAUACGAUCGAUGGAUGAAAGCGGGGGAUAGCAAGACCCUGCGCGAUUGGAGCGGCCGAUAUCAGAUUAGGUAGUUGGUGGGGUAAAGGCCCACCAAGCCAACGAUCUGUAGCUGGUCUGAGAGGACGACCAGCCACACUGGAACUGAGACACGGUCCAGACUCCUACGGGAGGCAGCAGUGGGGAAUUUUGGACAAUGGGCGAAAGCCUGAUCCAGCCAUUCCGCGUGCAGGAUGAAGGCCCUCGGGUUGUAAACUGCUUUUGUACAGAACGAAAAGGUUUCUACUAAUACUAGGAGCUCAUGACGGCACUGUAAGAAUAAGCACCGGCUAACUACGUGCCAGCCGCCGCCGUAA
rnacentral:rRNA from 1 species